rnacentral:rRNA from 1 species
UACGUAGGGUGCAAGCGUUGUCCGGAAUUAUUGGGCGUAAAGAGCUCGUAGGCGGUUUGUUGCGUCGGCUGUGAAAACCUGAGGCUCAACCUCAGGCCUGCAGUCGAUACGAGCAGACUAGAGUGUUGCAGGGGAGACUGGAAUUCCUGGUGUAGCGGUGAAAUGCGCAGAUAUCAGGAGGAACACCGGUGGCGAAGGCGGUUCUCUGGGCAUGUCCUGACGCUGAGGAGCGAAAGCAUGGGGAGCGAACAGG